AGAGUUUGAUCCUGGCUCAGGACUAACGCUGGCGGCGUGCCUAAUACAUGCAAGUCGAACGGUCGUGCGUUUGUAGCAAUAUGGACGUACGAUAGUGGCGAACGGGUGAGUAACACGUGGAAAACCUACCCUCGAGCGGGGGAUAACUCCGGGAAACUGGGGCUAAUACCGCAUGACAUCCCAACCUGGCAUCGGGAGGGGAUCAAAGCCGAAAGGCACUUGAGGAUGGUUCCGCGGCCUAUCAGCUAGUUGGCGGGGUAACGGCCCACCAAGGCGACGACGGGUAGCCGGCCUGAGAGGGCGAUCGGCCACAAGGGGACUGAGACACGGCCCCUACUCCUACGGGAGGCAGCAGUAGGGAAUUUUGCUCAAUGGGGGAAACCCUGAAGCAGCGACGCCGCGUGGGCGACGAAAUCCUUCGGGAUGUAAAGCCCUUUUAACCGGGACGAAAUACAUGACGGUACCGGUGGAAUAAGCCUCGGCUAACUCCGUGCCAGCAGCCGCGGUAAGACGGGGGAGGCAAGCGUUGUCCGGAAUCACUGGGUGUAAAGGGCGUGUAGGCGGGCCGGCUAGUCGGUCGUUAAAUCUCUCCGCUCAACGGAGAAGCUGCGGCCGAUACUUCCGGUCUUGAGUGCGGCAGGGGAGGAUGGAAUUCCUGGUGUAGCGGUGAAAUGCGUAGAUAUCAGGAGGAACACCGGUGGCGAAGGCGGUCCUCUGGGCCUGCACUGACGCUGAGUGCGCGAAAGCUGGGGUAGCAAACAGAAUUAGAUACUCUGGUAGUCCCAGCCCUAAACGAUGAAACGGGGUGUUCGCCCCUUCAAGGGGUGAGUGCCGCAGCUAACGCAUUAAUACCCCACCGGG
rnacentral:rRNA from 1 species